GUCACACCUCUCUUCUGGGCCUAGUCUGCCAGAGAAAGAGCUAAGCACUCCACCUACUCAGGUUGCCCAGCGAGCGCGCCAGGCUCUGACCCUACGGGCGUGGUUUACCAGUGGGGCGGCCAGGAAGGCGCCGGGUGUGUAGCGCUAACCGCUGUGUGGAGGGGAUCCUCUGGCGCUGUCUCCUUGUGGGUCUUCACUGACUCCUCCGUCUCAACUUUGCGUUCAAGUCGUGAUCUGAGGUUUGGGUGCUUUGCCGGGACCCCGCCCCGUCUCUCUCGGGGAGGGAGUGAGGAGUUCUGAGGUGGGUGGAGAAUGGGCUUGGCCGGAACUGAAUCGGUUGAGGUAAAAGGGGAACGCAGGAGCUUUAGCGCUGGCCACUUCGCCCGGGAGAACCCGGAGAAGCCGCUGUAUUUUUAGCACAGGGAAGGCUGCAGUGGGAGGAUUCUUUUUAGGAAGUCUGCUCCGCCGCCCCGAUUCGGGGCUUGGAUGCUUGAAAGCUUUGUUUCCCUUGUUCUGAGGGUGGCCCAGUUGGGUCUGAAUCGACUCCCUCCCUUUUUCGUUUCCCCCAUCCUUUUCCAGUCAGGAGAAAACAGAGAGGUGGGGACCAAGGAAGAGGAGGCUAAAGCGUGUUGCCAGGCGCGCUGUCAGACAUGGGCGGGUGCGAGGGGAACAGCUGUCUUGAGAUCAGCUCAGUAGUAUAAGUCUCAGGGAGGACUGCAUGAGCUCCGGACACUUCAGGAGUCCUCAGCUAGAGACACAGGCGUUUUUUGAGACAGGGUUUCUCUGUGUAACACUCCUGGCUGUCCUGGAACUUGCUCUGUAGAUCGAUCAGGCCGGCUUCACAGAGAUCGUCUGCUUCUGCCGAGAGCUGGGAUUGA